GGAAAGCACGCGAGGGAGGGAAGUCCACUUGUUUCGGUGGGGGUACGGUUUUCCGUGCGGCACGAGAGCAAGUGGAGAGGAGAGUCCGUAGAGUGGGAGGUUCGAGCAAGAGGGUAGUGGGGGAUCCAAGAGAAGAGGGGAUACUCGUGUCGCGCGAUAACCGUCGUCGAGGUGCAAACCAGCCGCGAAUUCGAAAGGCGGCCAGUUGCUGUUCGCGCGUCGUCUGCGUCGCGUCGCGGGUAUAUCGUGUCGAGAUAUCGAGACGAAAACAGACGACGUUGAAAGAACGAUCGACCAGCAACGAUUGACACGAGGAAGAAGGAUCUCGCGUGGGUCGAGAUUCUUAGGUCGAGUUUUUAAACACGACGACACGUGCAGUCAGGCGACGCGUCAAAGUCCCCGAUAGCGACGGAAUGUAGGGAGACGUUUAUAAUUAGUCAUGCGAGAGUACACAGAGAGAAAGGAAAGCUAAAGAGAGAUUAUAGCGUAGUCGUGAGUAACGAGAUCACGAGGAUUUUUCAUCGCGACGCACGCCUCUGUGAUUCACUGCCGGGACGAUAGCACGCGUUAUUCUCUUUUCGUUCGGUGAAUAAGAAUCGGCCAGAAG
rnacentral:misc_RNA from 1 species